rnacentral:lncRNA from 1 species
UCGGGUUGCCUCCCGAGAAGCGCUAAGUUUACAGUCUUCAGCCGGACUUUGUCUGCUUCUUUGUUCAAGCUAACGUGACCGAAGUCACUUGGCAAUUGAAUUCCUCUCCCCGAUGACUCUCGUUUGAUUUUUUAGGUGGCCACAUCCUCCUUGCACGUUCAUCACCGUUAGCACCCCAACUCUUUUGACUAUCUCUCGGAGGUGUUGAAAUUGAGUUCGCAUAACAAACGUGCUCCUUCCGAUUCCCUUUUCCGUUAUCAUCUCCUGCACUCAACGAUGCUUUCCCAUGGUCCAAAAUUGAAACAUCAAAUUUUUCAUGAUUUGUAAAAUCCAUAAGCUCAAUAGUAAAA